rnacentral:lncRNA from 1 species
CAUAACAUUUCAACUUCCAUUCAAUGCUAUUUACAAAUUUUCCAAACUUACAUUCAUUCAUUCAACUUCCAUUCAAUGCUAUUUACAAAAUUUCCAAACUUCCAUUCAUUCAUUCCACUUCCAUUCAAUGCUAUUUACAAAAUUUCCAAACUUACAUUCAUUCAUUCAACUUUCAUUCAAUGCUUUACAAAUCUCCAAUUUAUAUUCAUGACAUUUCCAAAUUAACACUUCACAAAUAAAUACAACAUCUACAACUCCUAUUUCUACAUAUUUUGAUAUGCAAGCAAGAUUCAACUCUUCAAGUUCAACAUACAAGCCCAAUUCGUUUCGUCCCACGAGCUCACAAGCCAAUGCCCUGCAAAAAUUAAUAAAUCAGUUAAUCCCACCAACUUCAGAACCGAUUGCAAUCACCAAUUUCACUAAAUCUGCAUUGUUCAACACCAUAUAUCUAGCAAUACAAAAUCAAGCCUGCAAUCAAUUGAUGAAACAAAGACAAUUAGUUACCAGUUCACUUUAAUACUCCUUGAACUUAAUAUUUCCAAUUAACAAAUCUAACAAAUAGACUCAGUUGAUACGUUCCGCACACAGUAAGCAUCCUGCGCGGCCUAGAGACUUAACUCACCAAACAACAACAACGGUUUAACACUCUAAAACCUAACUCUCUUCACUAAUUAACAUUCAGUAAAUGUCAAUCUAACUGACUCAAGACAAUGUGAAGCCAUUCUAAUUGUUCCUUAGGCAUCGUCCCUAACUAACAAAGUUUUCUAACUACACAAAACUUUUCAGAAUAAAGGUUCAAGACAGAAAGUACAAAUCAUUUGAACCUGUUUUUUUUUCUUCUUUUAAACAAAAGUAGACUCCACUAGAAACUAUUUGAAGUUUGCAUCUGUAAAAUUCUUCAGCUUCAAUCAAAACUCUUUCACGACUAAUAAUUACAACCUGCAGAAAUUCACAACAGACCUUUAAUUGGGAGCUCCACAUUAAGCAUAUACGGGUGCACUACAGAAGAUAAAAUAACAAAACUAAUUUUUGCUCAUAACUAACGCUAACAGAUUCCAACUAACUCUAACUGAAGGUUUUAACAGAAAUUUAACAGCUAACAAAUUCGCAUAGUUGAGAGUUAACAGAGUGAAAGUUAACAGAGUUUCACUCUGUUAACUCUGGAACCCUAUAUAAAGCCUCCUCACUGCAAACUCGAGGCCAUGAUUCAUAGUUGUUUCUUCCAAAUUCAUUCUGCAAAUUUCCAGAUUCGCAUUCUCACAUUCCUCUCACACCAAAGCUCUUUCUUCAUUGUUGCUCAGAGCUUCACAUUGAAGCUCUGAAACAACCGGAGCUGAGCCCUCACCUCCUCUCAGAAUCUCACACGUUCUCACGCAACAUACGCAUACACAACAUCAUCGUGACAACACAUCCUGCAGGCUAAAGCAAAGAAGAAGAAGAAUAAUUAGAGAAUCAAGCGUCAAAGGGUUCGAGAGCUUAACUGAUCAUAGGGCAUUUGUGCCAUCUUCAUCUUCGACAUCCUCAAGCUUGGCGUGAGCAAUUCCUAGUUCCGAAGGUUGGUGCACUUCUUUGGAACUCUCAUUUUCUUGUUACCAGUUGAUAGAGUUGUUGUAGAUAGGCAUUAACCCCAAGAUUAGGGAG